rnacentral:rRNA from 1 species
GGAAUAUUGGACAAUGGGCGCAAGCCUGAUCCAGCCAUGCCGCGUGUGUGAUGAAGGCCUUAGGGUUGUAAAGCACUUUCACCGGAGAAGAUAAUGACGGUAUCCGGAGAAGAAGCCCCGGCUAACUUCGUGCCAGCAGCCGCGGUAAUACGAAGGGGGCUAGCGUUGUUCGGAAUUACUGGGCGUAAAGCGCACGUAGGCGGAUAUUUAAGUCAGGGGUGAAAUCCCAGAGCUCAACUCUGGAACUGCCUUUGAUACUGGGUAUCUUGAGUAUGGAAGAGGUAAGUGGAAUUGCGAGUGUAGAGGUGAAAUUCGUAGAUAUUCGCAGGAACACCAGUGGCGAAGGCGGCUUACUGGUCCAUAACUGACGCUGAGGUGCGAAAGCGUGGGGAGCAAACA